ensembl:lncRNA
CCCAGAGGUUAGGUUACCGAGCAACAAACAAGAUGGACGAUACAGGCUGAUACACUGAGAGAAUGUCCCAGAGGUUAGGUUACCGAGCAACAAACAAGUUGGACGAUACAGGCUGAUACACUGAGAGAAUGUCCCAGAGGUUAGGUUACCGAGCAGCACACAAGAUGGACGAUACAGGCUGAUACACUGAGAGAAUGUCCCAGAGGUUAGGUUACCGAGCAGCAAACAAGAUGGACGAUAAAGGCUGAUACUCUGAGAGAAUGUCCCAGAGGUUAGGUUACCGAGCAACAAACAAGAUGGACGAUACAGGCUGAUACACUGAGAGAAUGUCCCAGAGGUUAGGUUACCGAGCAACAAACAAGAUGGACGAUACAGGCUGAUACACUGAGAGAAUGUCCCAGAGGUUAGGUUACAGAGCAACAAACAAGAUGGACGAUACAGGCUGAUACACUGAGAGAAUGUCCCAGAGGUUAGGUUACCGAGCAACAAACAAGAUGGACGAUACAGGC